rnacentral:rRNA from 1 species
CGAACGCUGGCGGCAGGCCUAAUACAUGCAAGUCGAACGGCUCUUCGGAGCAGUGGCGGACGGGUGAGUAACGCGUGGGAAUGUGCCCUUUGGUACGGAACAACACAGGGAAACUUGUGCUAAUACCGUAUGUGCCCUUCGGGGGAAAGAUUUAUCGCCAUUGGAGCAGCCCGCGUUGGAUUAGGUAGUUGGUGAGGUAAAGGCUCAACAAGCCUACGAUCCAUAGCUGGUCUGAGAGGAUGAUCAGCCACACUGGGACUGAUACACGGCCCAGACUCCUACGGGCGGGAGCAGUAGGGAAUCUUGCGCAAUGGGCGAAAGCCUGACGCAGCCAUGCCUCGUGAAUGAUGAAGGUCUUAGGAUUGUAAAAUUCUUUCACCGGGGAAGAUAAUGACGGUACCCGGAGAAGAAGCCCCGGCUAACUUCGUGCCAGCCGCCGCGGUAA